GGGGGGGGCGGGCAACAUCUUAGGACCAGCGGCGUUGGUGGCUCAUCUCCAUGGGGAUAACUCCAGCAGUAGGAUCCCAGCAGGGAGAUAAAGCAGGAUAAAAAUGAGAACUAGAAUUUCAUUCCCCUCAAAGUCGAACGACCCACUUGCAUAACUCCUUUCUGGGACACUCGCUCGCGUCUCAGCACAGCAGGAAGGGCCAGGAGAGCGCGCAACUCAGCUUCCGAGCCUUGCGGCGGAGGCCGGCGGGUUGGCUCACACUGACGCAGGACACCGUCCUCGGGAACCCGGCUAGGGGUCGGAACAAGCCACCCGAGCCAGCCCUGUUGCUGCGGGGGCCACGCGGGAGAGACUUGACACAAGCCACUGUUUGUUUUCAAAGAAGGAGGGUACUUACCCGAAAUGUGCAUUCCCGUGGCGGUUCAGGGCCCUCCGCUUAAAGCGAAGCUCCACCAGAAAUUGCCAAGUGAAUUUGGUAGAUUUGGGACCAUAAGUUGGAAAACAAGAUAUGAAAGUAUGCUCCAAUCAAUCUUUACUAUUCAAUGAGGACACCUAUUUUGGAAAUUCACAGACCCUCGAACCCUGUCUACGAAUCCCCAGUUAAGCACCUCUAUUUUUAGAGAAGAGAAAUGCAACAACCCCGAGGAAGACAAUUUCAAAGGGAUCAGAUGGAGGAUCUGUUAGCUCUUCUUUGCAACGUCGAAGGGACUCCCACGUUUGUGUGGAGUACAGGUCUGUGAUUCAUCAGUCUUACACAAUUCACAGUGCUCACCAUAGCCUGUUUUUAAACAAACGUCUGUCUGCUUGGAAGAGGUGGUGUUCACUCUGUGGUCUAGUUACCCCUUACCUGAAAAAUGCCUUCCUCUGUGGGUCUCAGUGAGUCCCAUUCCGGAGAGUCCAGGAACUGGAAGGGGAAAAUGUAAUGCAGAAAUUCGCCAUCAACCGUCACUCUGAUCCUACCCAAAACAAAGAACAUCAUUCAUGAGAGAAGGAGAAAGCAAGCCCAUAAUUGGAGGCAAGGGGGAGGGAGCAGUAUUUCAGAUCUCCGGUGGUCUUUAUGGCUUUUAAAAUUUUGUAGCAUGAAAUAUUAAAUUCACGCAUUACAGUAAGUGACAAAAUCUCCUCUAAGAUUCAUGUACUGAUGUUCCUCACACAGUUAGGAUUCUGGAAUAUUGGGUGAAAUUCAUCAGACGAUGCAUCAAGGUAUACAUUGAUGGUAUGUGCCCAUUUGUGUGUAUAUAUUAUACUUGAAGACAAAGUUCCAAUGCACGCAGUUGGAUUUUAAAUUAAGUAGGAAAACACUGAAGAACAUAAAGGAGUGGCACUGUAAAUACCUCUGUAGACUAAUAUUUAAACUUUUUAAAGGCAUGAAUAAUCACACUAUUGUUUCCAUUAAAGUUUCCCCAAACUUCCUGUUUUCAAACUUUAUAUACAUACAAAGAUAGAUAUAAAAAUCAUAUAUGGUGAACCCCCUGCUUCUAGCAAGUGGGCAAUUCUAGAAUUUACUGAAGAAAAUUGAUCAUUAUAAAACUUAAAUGUUCUCUAUUACUUAAAAGAAUGCCCUAUCACAGUCUAUUUAAAGUACUUUGCAUGCCAACAUAAGUAUUCUAUUAAUUCAAGCUGGCAUCAUCGUCUUCUUGACUCUCAGUGAUUAGCCUGGAAACAAAUAGCAUAUCCAGACAAACCCAUUUGUACAUUUGAUUUCUAAGAAGAAAUAUUAAGGCUCUCGAUUAUAUCCUGCUUCAGGUAAAUAACAGCAUGUACUCUAAACGCCUAUGUCCAUGACUCACGUACAUGUCAAGGGGUUUCUCAUGCCUCACGGUGCUAAAAACCGCCCAGGACUGUGCUAUGCUGAGAUGGAAAAGUGUAGCAGAAAGAAACACCAGCUAGUAACUAAUACAAAGGAAAUAACUAAUAUAGAGCAAGCACCAAGAGUACAAACCUUCCCGAAACAAGCAGGGAGAGUUUAUCAAUGGAGGUUUUCCCCUGCAUGGCAUAACAGUGUUCCUUUUCCAAAGUAACCACUUCAGAGCUCAGAGCAAUUGUUCUGAAGACGGGCAAAGAGGUCCCCAGAGGCUGGAAAAGGGAGCUGUACAAUAGCUGGAAUUCUCGGGAAAAAGUUAUGCUGCGAACUUGAUAUGCAAUGUGAACAAAUUGCAUGAAGCAGAUGACAAACAGUACAAAAUUCCAGGAAUAUAUGUCAGCUGCACAGACAUCUACCCAAGCCCAGACAGCAGAGCAGAGAAAACCCAACCCCAGCAAACUGAAGACGUAAAGGAGCCCGAAGAAUCCACUGCCGCCCAUGAAACCUACUACAAAUAAAAUACUGGCAAGAUGAUAAAUGGCUCCUUCGGCCUCUUGCUUCCAGGUGAUACAGACUGGGUGUUCAUCUAUCAGGUUCUUCCAUAGACUUGAAUUUCUCUCCAUGGCUGUACUUCUGUCUGGUUCACUUUUCAGUUGACAUUCGAUGAUAUUGGAGCAAGUAAUUAAGUCCUUUGCUUUUCCAUCCUCAGAGUUUCACUAUGUCUUUAUAAAACCAGAGACAGCCCGGACACUGGGGUUGUAGUGAUUAAGGGUUUUGUGUGUAUAGAUCUUGAAAAACUAAAAAUCCCAUGCUAGCUUCUUUAAGUACAUCUGGGCUCCUGAUUCAGAUCUAGUCCACAAAUAUUUUGUGGUUUCCUGGACAAGAAAAAAAAGAAGGAUCUAAUUAAAGAAGGAAAAUUGAGAGGUAUAUUUAAAUGAAUCACCAGCAUUACUAUUCAAGUUGAUAUGCUAUUUUCUAUGAAGUUAGAAUAUUUUUUAAAAUUUUAUCUUGACAUAAUUAUAUAUUUGCAUUAGUUAUAAGGAAUAAUACAGCGAGGGCACAAAUGCUGUUAAGUUUCUAGGAUAGAAGAUGUCUAUUUUUAGGGUUAUGCUUAAUAAUAAUAAUAAAUUAUUUACCGAAAUUUUAGCAUUUGUUAGAAUUAGCUAACUACAUAUUCUGCUAGAAAGCUAGGUGCUAUCAUCAACUCAUCUUCAUAACAAUAGCUUGGUGUACCUCAGAAUCUCUUGGGACAGUGACUAAAAAUGCAGAUUCAUAAGCUGUGUGCAGACAUACUGAGUCAGAAUCUCUGAGGAUGGGGUCGGGCCUAUGUGUUGGGUGUCUUGACAAUACCCCCCAAGAUUCUGAGACACCAGUCCAUGGCCUUUCAUGGCCCACCCUCUGGGAGAUACUGUUUGACAGUGCUAUUCACUCUUACAGAUGAAAAAUUCGAGGCUUAGAGAGGCCAGCUAAUUUAUCCCUGGUCACACAGUGGUCGGGGUAGAGCAGAACUUCUGCAGGGAAGCCUCUAUGCUGGCUCCAAUCAUGUGGCUUCUCAGGAAAGAGAUUUUAAAUUAGGCACUCUAAGGAGCCCUAAUAAAACAAUAAACAUGAGAAACACAUACUUAGGAGUCAGAUUUUAAAAGCACAGAGUAGACUAUGAGUAUGUUUCAUGAAUUAGAUCAAAAUUAUUUGAGAAAUAUAAAUUCAGAUCUACCUUACUGUAUUAGAGGCUAUUUCAAGUUAAAUCUGUACCCAUAUAACUAAACAAAUAAUAUUAAAAUUCCUGCUACUUACACAUUUAUUUACCAGAUGGUCAAAAAAUGUUACCGAUUUGUUCCUCUGCACAUAUAUUCUCUACCCUUUGAGCCAUAUGGUAAAAAUGCUAAUGUGUGAUCUGAGUCAGGAGAGAUUUAACCAGGAUGAUAGAGCUGUAGGAUAUAUAUCAUUUAUCCCCAGGUUUCUUAACAAGAAAUAGUUUCAAUGUGAAGCAUUCAUUGGAUUGGAUUUUUAAACCAUAACAACAUUCAGAAGGCUUGAACUUAACUGCUAUAUUUAGUGUUUUUAUUUUUGAGAUAGAUCAUUUCCAGAACACCUGUUAAUAAAAUAUCGGGUAUCACAGAUCUUGUCUCAUAGAAAAAAAAAAAAUACACACAGAGAAGUGAAAAUGACUUAGCUGAAGUAAAAAAGGGAACAGUAUAAUCACCAACAGAAUUAGAAAUGGAAAUAAAGGAGCCACUGUUGUUGGAGUUCCUGAUUCUUCAUCCUGGAUAGUGAUUCCUUCCUCAGCAAGUAAGGACUUUAAGAGCAUCAGCAGGUGAAUCAUUAAAAAAAGAAAACAAAAAACAAAAAACAAACCACAGACCUAUAACUUAUAUUGCUAUUUGUACUUAAGCUACUUUCAAAUGUACUUUAAACAUCCCAUGCCCCCUAAAUCCUGCCUCCCCCCAUCGCUCAUGUGAGAUGAUGCGAUUCGGGGCAGACCAGCACCCCGAACGUGUUUACUUUCUCCUCUUUAAAUGCAACACAAAAUUACAUACUACUGGAUAUUCACAACAAAGAAAAAAAAAUUUUUUUUAAUACAAUGAGUAGUGAGAACUGCAGAAUACCAGACUGCAAAUGUCAGUCUCCCUGCUGUUUUACUUUUAAAACUAGGGUAUUUUAAAUUAAUCAGUUCCUCAGGAUACCUAACACAGCCACUAAAGUCAAUAUUAAAAAGCGCUGCUGCCAGAGCUCUGAACUUUGGUUUGACCUUCCUUAAAAAUUUAUAAUCCUCAACAGAAUGUUAAAAUGAUGCUAAUAGAGAACGGCCGUGUAAAACCUUGUGGCAAUGCAGAAGGCAGCUUCUGGGAAUCUUGUCCCCUGACGAUCCGGACUUGGGGGAUAGGUUGGGCCACCUGCAUUCCAGGAGGGUGACCCAUCGUGAUCAUCAGAAGAACUGCGCUUCCAGCCCUUUCUGGCGGCUUCUGUUUCAAGAAGCUACUACCAAAUCAUUUUCCUAUCCUUCAUGCUGUAGGCACUCCACACAGCAACACAGAGUGCUGACUUGCCCUGAUUAAAUUACUCCACACCCAGCCUUUCUGCCCUCGGUGUGUUUUUAUUCAGUCACCAAAGCAGAUGUAUUUUAUUAGAAGAGAAAGAACUGACAGGGGCAGGUGACAGGCAUGAGUGUUCCUCUGAUAUGGGCCAGCAGCACUCCACGACUGAACAUGAUUCAUCAACCAGCUGCCUGCUUGAAAAGCCUGGAGGCCUUAAGUCAUGUUUUUGGGUAAAUAAAUGUUGAGAUGCCAAAGUGGCACGAUGGAUUUCUUUGGCAGGAAAGCACAUCUUCCCCGCCAGAGAAAUUAGCACACGGAGAUACAAAUGAUGGAGACAAAAUUAAGUGCAAAUAAACACAAUAAUUCCCAGUUCCCCCCUUUUUACUUACCUUAGGCUGUGAGACCCUGAGUUAUAGAGGAAUGAGGACAUUUAAAGACAGGUACAAGGAUGCUCCGUGAAAUAGGAUGGAGACUUGGGACCAACUGAUUAAGACUAGCUCAGAAAUGGCAUUUAUCUGUUCACAGCCUGAACGUUUAUUAUCUCAUCGCGUCACACUUGUUGCCACGAGGGAGGCAGAAUCUAAAUUAUCAUGCUCUGCUUACCAAUGAGAAAAGCAGGGCACAAGAUCGGCUAAGUAACUGGCUUGAGGUAAGUGAGGCAGAAGUCCCAGGUAGGAGUCCCUGUCCGCUCAGCGCCAUCCCUCACCAGCAGGCAGGGCCCCUUUUCAAGGCUGUGAAUCGGAUAUGAACGUGUUGGGAGACAGUGGGAUAUUCUGUCAGGACCGGUUUGCCAGGAAAAUAAUCAUCCUAACACUGAAUAUUUAAGAUCUGCCAUAAUGCUUACCGUCGAGCCAGGGAAAUAGACCUAGAAAGCCACUCAUGAAAUAAUUUGCUGUAUUAUUAUUCAACACUGACUGACUUCCUCUCCUAGCUCCUGAAACUCUUACGGGGCAAAGACAACUGUUUUUGUAUUUCUGGCACUCACGGAACGUUGAUUGACCACACUGGUAUCCAGGUACAAGCAUUCUGCCUUCUCCAGGCCUACUCUAUCCAAUUUAAUGGAUGUUCUGACAUCUUCCGUCACCCAGGGGAAAAGAGGAGGUACACUUACUCAGGACCUACAUGCCAGGCGUAUUCAAGAAUUAUCUCACUUAACCUUCACAACAACCCCAUCGAGAAGGUACUAUAUCUCCAUCUUACAGAUGAGAAAAUUGAAACCCAGAGAAGGGGUGAUCUCUGUUGUUCUUCUCUGUGUCCCGACCUCCUAUGGCUGAUUGGGGUACCCCUAUAACCAACCCACCCUUGAGUCUUUACUUUCCAAUGGCCAAGAAGCCAGUCUCUGGAAGACAACAAUACUCUUCUGCCUCAGAUAAGUGUUCAGUGCUUCUCAGCAGGGAUCCUCAAAUCACUGAUGUUAAGUGUCACCCGGGUGGCUUGUUAGAAUGUAUCUUCCCUGGGCCCAUCCCAGAAUUACUGGGCCAGGAAGGGACCCAGGAAGAUGCCCUUCUAAUAAGCUCCCAGUUGAUUUCUUACGCACAUUGAAGUUUGAGUGCCAUUAUUUUAUGUUGUUCCUGCAUGAUUUCUGAAUUAUCCUUGUUUGUUUGCAGGACCUCAGCUUUGUUCCUUCCUGGCUGACCACUGGCUGUCCUUCUAUGCAGAUUACUCUUGUGCUUUUGAUCCCUCACUGUCUGCCCAGGACGGUAGUGCUGGUGUUAACGCUCCAUUCUGUGUCUAUUGGUUCAGUUCACCCUGUUACUUAAAAGAAAGGUUCUAGUCUUAGCCGUGCCCCUAAAUAGCUGUGUGAUUUUAAUCUUACUAGACCUGUUUCCUCAUUGGUAAAAUGGAAGUGUUGGACAAAACAAUGUGAGGUCCUUUUGGCUCUAAAAUAACACGACCCUAUGUGUGAUAAGGAAUAGAAGACUUUUCCUAGCAUGGGUUAAAAUACAGAGUUGAGUAGUGGAACUGAAUUACUGCAGGUCUUAACACCAAGUUUAUGAUCGAGGCCCCACUCUAGAGACCACUUAUUUAAUUACUUAUGGACUGUGGCGGGGCCCAGGCACUGGAAUGUUCUGACAUGUAACAAGGGUUAAGAACUAUUAGGGGGUGAGGUUGAGAGACACCAGAACAGUCUGUAGGGUAAAGGAUCUAAUUUUAAUUCUUACUUUGAAGGAGCUGGAAAGGCACAUUUUUGCCUUGUGUGUUCUCAUUCCCAUGCUUUGCUCAGGUGGGGAGGCAUUUUCCUUCCUUGCCACUCAUCAUUCCAAGAGGGCUCAAGGCUUGUGGAUAUUCUGCAGCAGCCUUUCCUCAACAGGGUGGCCUGAAUUUGCACCUUCUAGUUCUGAAUUUUUAUGGCCUUUAUUAUCUGUCAACAUGGCUUCCAUCAUAUAUUAUGUUAUAUUGACCAUAAAAAUAAUACACAUGUAAUAUGUAAUAUGUAUUAUAUAUAGUCAUUGGUCAUAUAUAUUUAGUCAUAUAAAUGUCAGCUUUAUUAGUUGGUUAUUUUACAUAUGUGUAUAUGGAAACAUAUAUGGAAUUCCCCUCUGUCUAGAACACAGUGAGUCUUCAAUAAAUGUUCAAUGACUGAUAAGGAUAACAAUGCUCAGGUAUAAAUGCAGUGUUCAGAAUAGUUUUGGAACAAGUAAGAAGCCUAAGUGAGAUGUGACUAAUACCUGAAUCAAUGAUUUAGAUGUUGGACUAGAAAGAAAGGAAAGCAUAUAUUAUACUAUGAGGAAGAAGUGAAAGGAAGAAGUGUCUCUAUUGAGACAGAGGAACAAAGAAAGGUUGAAGACCCUUUGGAAUUUUAAGAGAUCCCAAAGUUUGGAAAGAAAUCAGAGGAAAGGGGAACACAGUUUUAUCCUCAAUUAACCUAAUACUCUUGGUCUAGCAACAGAGUUCACAGCAGAAGAUAAGGGGCAAGACAGAGGGAUCUUUAAUAGUUACUAUUACACAGGACAAUACUGAAGAAAGCCUGGAGUUGGCGAGAUUAGCUAGAAAGUGAGUGCAGAGAGAAUGAGAGUUGAAGUUUAAUGCCCAUGAUCCAAGGCCUUAGAUAGAACUCUAGAGUUGUGCUGUCCAAUAUGGUAGCCAUUAGCCACAUGUGCCUGGUCUGAAUUGAGAUGUGUUAUACACAUGGAUUUCAAAGACUUAGCACAAAGAUAGAGUAUGUCAUUAAUAACUUUUAUGUUGACUAUAUGUUGAAAUGAUUAUGUUUUAGAGAUAUUGGGUUAAAUGAGACAUUAAAGUUAAUUUUGCCCAUGUCUUAUUUUUUAAUGUUGCUACUAAAAAAUUUAAAAUUAUGUAUGUGGCUUGCAUUAUAUUUCUCUUGGACAGUGCUAGUCUAGAGCCUCUCAAGUAACAGAGAAAGGAAAUGAAAAAGACUUGGCAUGACACUGUGCAAACAGUGCAUAUGUAUAAUGUAUAAGUGUAUAAAUAUGGGAGAAUUAUCUAAGAUUAAGAACAGAGAGUUGAUAUAAAUGUAAAUGAUAUUGGCUACAAUAUUCAUAUGCUACAAUCAUCAGAUGUUAUCUGUGGCGUAGAUGUCGCCAUCUGGUUUCUGCCUACAUAGGUGGCCAACCCCACUAUAGCUCUUGGCCUCUUCAUCCUACCAAGGAAGUCACUACUUUUUCCUUUUGCCUUAGGAGAAUUACACUUUCCCAAGCAACUAUAUCACAUUGUUUCAUUUUCUCGUUUCAUCUUCUGAUGAUACUUCAUGGAAUACAUUGGAAAUCCCAGACAGAUAAUCUCAUAAAUUUUGUAGUGGAGAUUGAAUUAUGGCCUUCUGGAUUCCAAAGGGUCUAUACCAGCCUUUGUUUUCAUAUAAUAUAUGAGUUUCUUCAUGCACCAUUAGGCUUCUGGGCUGGAAUAUGCCUUUGACCUUCCAUACCAAUGAGAGCUUGGCUUCUCUUGAGACUUGAGAAAAUUAGAGAACAUGCCUAUAGCCCAUGCUGGACUUCUCUGAUUCUCAGGUCUUCGCUAAAGUCCAUUUGAUUACCUGCAGCUGUGUCUGAUUUCUCACUUUAUCACAUAAGCAGAAUUGUAAGAUGGUCCCCAGGAUUCCUGUCUCAUUGGUGCACACAUGCAAUAAUCCUCUCUCCUUGAGUGUGGCAGACCUAUGAAUGGGAUGGGACAGAUACUCUCUUGAUUAGGUAACAUUAUAUGACAAAUGGUGCUGGAAUAAUCACCUGUGAUUAUUAAGCUAUAUAAGAUUGCAGGACUGGAGAGGGAUUGAAAAUUGGAGAGUCGUGUUCCUCCUGGCCUGGAAGAGAGCAAGUAAUGGCCAGCAAGUAAUGGCCAGCGGUCUCUGGGAGCUGAAAGAAGUCCUCAACUAACAGUUACCAAGAUAAUGGGAAUGUCAGUCCUAAAACCGCAAGGAGGUGAAUUCCUCCAACCACCUGAAAAUCUUGGAAGAGGUCCUUGGACUCCAAAUGGGGAGUGCAGUGAGGCUGACACCUGGAUAGCAGGCUCUCAACACCCAAGGCAGAGGAUCCAGCUCAGCUGUGCCUGGACUCCUGACCCACAAAAACUAUGCAAUGAUGGAUUUGUGGUGUUUUCAGCCACUAGCCUGUGGUACUGUUACAAAGCAGCAGGAAACUAAUACACACAAUUAUGAGUACUUACUAUACGUGAGACUUUAAUAAUCUACAUUUUAUGAUGGAGUUGGAAAACAGAUCUAUGGAGAAGAAGACACUCAAUCUUUGCUAGAUUUAAAUCAGGAAAACCAGUUAAGAACAGUAAUACUUUUGAAGAAUAGUAUUUGGAAAACAAGACACUAAGAGAGGCCCUGGGAAUUACAUGUAAAUUCACUAAGGUUACCAGCAACUUAUUACAGGUUCUCCUUCAGUGGAGUCAGACAGCCCCAACACUGUUAAGCAUUUGGACACAUGGGCAAUUUCCAGAAUAAUUAUGUCAUCCAUAUACAAUCUCCAAAAUGCCUGGAAUACCAAGUUUCCUUGGGUGGGACUUCCUGCUUAGUUCUUUGUAAAACUGAGCCAUAUGUAUAGGGCAAAUACUUGGUAUCUCAGACACAUCUAGAGAUUAACACUCAAAGACAGACUACAGAAACUCAAAUAGCUCUGUAAAUCUUCUAGUUGUGGGACUCCACCACAUUCAGAUGAGUUGAGCAAUGGGAAAUUAACGCAAAGCUAGUCACCAUCUUCUUGAACCUCAUUUACUACUAUUACGGCUACUACCAGCAUCUAACAUUUACUGAGCACUUACUAUGUGCCAGGCAUGAUUCUAAGACUCUUAAAAUAUUAAGUCAUUUAAUCCUCACAACUUUUUGAAAUAUAUAGUUCUAUUGUCCCUAUUUUACAGAUGAGAAAACUGAGGUAUAGGGAAGUUAGGUUGCCUAAGGAUACACAAAUGAUAGAGCCCAGAAUCACUCCCAGGCAGACAGAUGCAAAUAAUAACACACUGCUUCAUGUACAGUUUGAAUCUAAAUAUCUGGACUUACUGGAACAAAUCAACAACAUUCUUGUUUUCUCCCUUCAGCUCUAGAUUCAAUGAAUUUAAAUGUCUUCUUAAGAAAUUACAACUUUUUGAGCAACACAGGGUUAGGAAGGUGGGUCCCGUCUUGAAUCACUCAGUGUCCUAUAAUUCUUCAUUUGAUGAAACAGCAGUAAACCUCUCCUUCUCAACCAUGUCAUUUGAUUGCUUUUAAUAAACAAUCCCCAUGCUCUGCUCCAAGUUCUCCUUAAACUGGAAAUGGUUAAAAGCACAAGCAGACUUUUGAGCAGCUGCUCUCAUGUCAUGCCUUAAGUCCACCAGAGAUUCAUGCUGAAAAAUGCAAGACAAGCUGGACCCAUGGAUCCAUUAAACAGUCUUUUCUUGAUAUGAAUCAAAGGUAGACACCUUCACUUCCUUUUCCUCCAAGUGACUUAUAUGCAGCAAAUGAACUCACCUUUCUAUGUUUAUUUAGU